GGUUUGGUUGGGCGGUUUGUUGGCGCGUCGGAUCCCCCGCUUUGAUCUGGUGGUGCGUCGUCCAGGGAUUUGCUGCUCCCGAAUCUGUUGCCUGUGGUCUUCACUGCCAUUCUUCAUUGCUGAAGCUUCGGCCCUCCCGCUUUGCAGCACUUGUUUUGGGCGUCUGCAGGGCUGCGCCCACCCUCAUCACCGUGGGGACAACUC
rnacentral:SRP_RNA from 16 species